UGGCUGUUCACAUGCUAGUUUCUUAAUUAGAGUACGGUCUUAAUCGGAUUAAGAGUGGAUUAUUGUCGUCCGUGUAAACGCAGCUUGUGACUCCGUUUACACGGACAGCGAUAAUCUAAUUACUGACCUUAUUCUGAAUAAGACGUAUGAUAUUCCGAUUAAGGUGUGUGCGCUUUCUUAAUCAGAGUAUCGGCGUAAUCGGGAUCGUAUCGGAUCAUCGUCGUGCGUGUAGACGCGGUCACUGUGGUUAAUUAACGACGAACAAACUGUCACUUUUGGCGAAAGAGGGAUAUAUAUUAAAAGGUCAUGCUGUUGUAGGGAAAUAAUCCACUUCAGAUGUCAUCACUACAGCCGGUCUUUGAUUUCUAUUUUCCAAUAACAGCACAACACAGCGUUUCGAUGUUAUUCCUUGCCAAACAGCACGGACUGUUUCGAUUUAAUAAAUGCUUCAUUCUCACCGUGUAGAUCUUAAAGCCAACCAACCAGGACGUUCGAACGAAGACGGUUUUUAAGCUCCGAAUCGAUCUUGCGUACAUAAUUCAUUAACUGCCGCUUCAUGAUCCGAGAACUGGCGCGUGGAUCCAGACUGGAAAUUUGGCGUGACCGCGUAGACUCCAGCAUGUUUAAGUGUUCGCAGUCCUGAAUCACUGAUGAGUAAUAAAAGAAGCAUUAACUCCAGCGGCGCUUUAAUACAAAUACAAAAUAAUCUCUCGGAGCACUUUCAGAACACGACGUCUGCACAACAUUAGCCUGGUGUCACGCCUUAAACUAGCGCUCGAGUUGAUCAAGCUAGGAAAAUCACCAAACUAAACGACAUAUGGAAGACUUACAGGCUGUACUUCACAUGCAGACUCUGAUUUACACACAGUGCCUGCCCUCCGAUAAUAUCGGCACCCUUGGUAAAUAUGAGCCUUCAUCGCUUAACCUUUUGACCUUUCUUUAAACCAAAAAAUGGAACGGAAUCAAACGAUCGCAAACAAAAGACGGGUUUAUCCAAAAAAAAUAUCGGUGUGUGUGGUGUUCAACAAUUAUUGGCACCCUUAAUAUGUCGCGUUUAGUGUAUAGUACAUCAACCGAGGACACCCCUGGUCAUCGGUAGGAACUACACG
ensembl:lncRNA